rnacentral:rRNA from 1 species
GACGGAGGAUGCAAGCGUUAUCCGGAAUUAUUGGGCGUAAAGCGUCCGCAGGUGGCUGUUCAAGUCUGCCGUCAAAGCGCAGAGCUUAACUCUGUACAGGCGGUGGAAACUGAAGAGCUAGAGUAUGGUAGGGGUAGAGGGAAUUCCCGGUGUAGCGGUGAAAUGCGUAGAUAUCGGGAAGAACACCAGUGGCGAAAGCGCUCUACUGGGCCAUAACUGACACUCAGGGACGAAAGCUAGGGGAGCGAAUGGG